rnacentral:ribozyme from 1 species
AAAAGCAAGAAACAGAAACAGAAAGAGAAGGAGAUUUUGUCAGCUGAUUGUGGAUGAUCCCUGCUGCAACAUUUUUUUUUUUGGCUCGUUCCUUCUUCCUUCUUCCUUCUUCUAUUGUAUUAU